UUGGCAUCGAUCAAGCAAUAGCAUCUUGAGAGCAACGUUUAUCAGACUUAUAACACUGAUUAAUCUCCCUUCUAAUUAGGUCUGGAGCAAAAAGAAGAAUAGACUUUACCAAGGAUGAUGCCACCAAAUCUAUCAGAUCAAAGAAACAUGAACAUAGUCCUUCCAAAGAAUACAAGAAAGACAAAACAGACAACAAAUAUCAAACAACCAAUGAUGGACAGCAGGAGUAAGCCAAACAUGCAUACCAAAUAGAUGUUAACAUAUGGACGAGACAAUCAAACAGGAAGGGUCUUACUAUUCAUGGAAGAUGUUAACAUGUGGAGGAGACAAUCAUACAUGAAGGAUCUUCAUUAUUGGAUAAUGCUUGAAUGCACUGAGUUUCUCUUUGUCUUUUCUCCUUUCGCCCUUUGGAAUCACCAGAGUACCCAUUCCUCAACGUGUAUGAGUGUACGAGGGUACUUUUAGUCAUAAAUCUAUAAAUACCAAACUGGGUUCGUAUUACAUUUUGAAUGUUAACAUGAGGAUAUCUAUUAUAAUGUCAUCUCUGUUUUUUCUUGCUAGAGUAUGUAUCUCCUCAAAACUCUCAUAAACUGCAGAAAAUGCCGCCCAUGCUAGCCUUCACCGCUUAGAAAGUUUUAUAUUUUAUAUACCAACCCCCAAUUAUUUUCUUUGCUAGGAAUCCAACCAACAAUUACCAUGCCCAAAUCUUACAUGCGUGUGUGAUAUUAAUACGUACAUUAACCUGCUAAUUAAAACCCCAA